rnacentral:rRNA from 1 species
CGGAGGCAGCAGUGGGGAAUUUUCGUCAAUGGGGGAAACCCUGAACGAGCGACGCCGCGUGAGGGAUGAAGGCCUUCGGGUUGUAAACCUCUGUCUAGAGGGACGAUAAUGACGGUACCUCUGGAGGAAGCCACGGCUAACUACGUGCCAGCAGCCGCGGUAAGACGUAGGUGGCGAGCGUUGUCCGGAAUUACUGGGCGUAAAGGGCGUGUAGGCGGCCAUUCAAGUCAGGCGUGAAAUCACAGGGCUCAACCUUGUGACUGCGUUUGAAACUGGGUGGCUUGAGGACAGGAGAGGAAAGCGGAACUCCCAGUGUAGCGGUGAAAUGCGUAGAUAUUGGGAAGAACACCAGUGGCGAAGGCGGCUUUCUGGACUGUCCCUGACGCUGAGGCGCGAAAGCCAGGGGAGCGAACGGGAUUAGAUACCCCGGU